CCGGCCGCUCUGCCCCGCAACGACCGUGCGCACCCUUAUAACCUCGGCCCCCGCGAUGAGCUCACCGCCCCCGUUCGCCAUUGGCUCGAGGUGACGUCGUAGAUUUGCAUAAGGGGGCGGGGGCCCGGACGCCCUCACUUCGUGGCUGCUGCGGCCGCUGUUGCCACGGGCGACGCUCGCUACAAGGCACAACAGCGCGCUGCAUUGUGGGUUGACGUCAUGGGGGUGGGACUGAACGCGGCCUGGCCGGGUCACCACGCCCAGCUUGAAGUGCUGGACUCAGUAUCUGUCCUGGUCUCUCUUCCCCUCCUUCCUCCAUUCUGCCCGUUUCUUCUCUCUCCCUCCUAUCUCUUUCUCUCUCCCUCCUUUUUCUCUGUCCCUCUCUAUAUCUCUCUCUUCACUGUAUCUCUGACCCACUCUUAACCGAGUGUGGGUCUAUGCUCUCACCUCUGUUCUGGCACUUCUCCUAUGGCGUGAUGGGCCGGGCCUCACAUAAGUCGCGCCCCCUGUGAAGGCACGCCCAUAAAGACCACGCCCCCGCCGAGGGGGCUGGGCAGGAAGGGGGAGGAGGGGGGGUCCCUUGGAGAGUCCCCAGAAGUUGUUGGAAGUGCUUUGCGUCCUGUCAUUCAGAGAGAUGCCUAAAACCCGACUUCCUGUCUUUCAGAGGGGAAAUUGAGGGUGAGCUAUGUGGAGUCCACUCGGUCAGGGCUCCAGGAAGCCGCCAGUUUUUGUGGUUAUUUUUUAUCUAUGUGAAAAAGAAGUUUAAACGUUUGUUUUGGGUUGUUUUAAGACAGGGUCUUAUCCUGUAACCUCCGCUAACCAUGAACUCAUUUCAAUCCUCCUGCCUCCCCUUCCCAAGUGUUUCAGUAACAGGCCUGACCUCUUCACUUCGGCCUGAAGUUUUCGGUUUUGUUUGUUUUGCAUUUUACUCUGUGUGCGUGUGUUUGUGUGUGUAGCGCACCUGUGGAGGUCAGAGGACAGCUUGUGGGAGUCAGCUCUUCCACAGCGUGGUUCCUGGGAUGGUGCUCAGGUCCUCGGACUUCCAGUGCAGGCACCUUUAAGAGCGCCCUCAAGGCCCUGGUUUUGGAUGCUUUGGGACAGGACCUUGCUCUGUAGCCCAGACUGACCUGAACUCCCAGCAACCCUAGCUCUGCUUUCUGGGUCCUGGAUGACGAUGUUUGCUCCUGGGCCUUGCUUCCGAUAUGUAUUUGCCUUUAACUGUUAGGACAGGCAUUCACUCUGUACCCAGCUCCUGAAAUGAUAGUCGCCUCAUCCCAGCAUGAGAGUUGGGUCUUGGGUCUGUUGUUUGAGUUUUAUUUGUGUUUUGAGAGAUGGUCUCGCUUUACAGUCCUGGAAUUUACAGAGAUAUGGGCCUGGCAAGUUCUGUAGUUAAAGGCCACCAUGCAAAAUGUGUAAGCCCGGCUGAUCUCAGACUAGUGGUGACCGCCUGCCUCCAUGGAUAAGGUGCUGGAGUCACAAACCACUGCCUUGCUAUGGCACAAAAGUUUGGGGGUAAGCUUGUGUUUUUGUUUGAGUCUCUUUUGAGUCAGGAUUUUAUGUAGCUCAGGCUAGAUUUCUGCACUGAUCCAGUGCCUCUGCCUUCUGAGUGAGAAGACAGGCAAAGUCCCGGUCAACCUGAGUAUUGCUGCAUGGACAGAACUUGGGUGCCCGAGCCUCUGGUUAGCCAUGGUGGUACACAUUCUUACCCCCCCCCACACACACACACACUCCACCUGGGCCUGAGGUGGGUCCCAGGGUGGAGCUGGUGGAACAAUCCAGGCUGGUAAUUACCCCCCCUUAAUUAGUACAUUAUGCCCACUAGGCCUGAUGGGCCGGGUUUUCAGCUUGCUGGGAGUGGGAGGGACUGCACUCAAGAUGACAACCCUCCUCGGCCUCCCACCUCUCACCAUGACCCCUAUCUGACCUUGUCACCCACUAGAAGCACCCGGUGGCAGGUGCUUCGCGGUUCAGGGCCGUGGGGGGGGCUUCACCUCUUUCAUCCCCUCGCCCUAGCUUGCACAGUUGUGGCCUCAGGAAGCCCCCACAUCCAGGUUUUAUUUUGUAGCCAAGAAAUCAUACAGAGCGAAGGGUAUACUCCUUCCGCACCGCAGAGGACUCUUCCACACAUACAGGGUUUGCGAUCCGCCGGCCAGAUCCCAGCUUGGGGCCCCCGAGAGGGAUGAGCCAGCUAGUGAUGGCCUGGCAGGCGGCCAGCCGGCCCUGGGCGUCGAUUCCCGCCUCUCCCCACGACCUGUGAGGUGCAGGGGACGCUGAAGGCUCCACCCUGACCUUGGGCCUUGGCCUUGGCGACAGGCGGGGCGGGGGGGGGGGGGGGGGGGGGGGUUGAGCUGGUUGGGAACCUUUCUGUGAGUCUGUUUUCCUGCCAGCCAAGGGGAGCUUUCUGUAUUUACUUGAAAACUAAGAAGAGUAAGGGCUAAAUAGUCCCAUGUUUUUCGGGACAGACUUUCCCUGUGAAGCCCUGGCUGUCCUGGAACCGGCUCUGUAGACCAGGCUGGCCUCAAACUCAGAGAUCCAUCUCCCUCUGCUUCCCGCGGACUGGGAUUAAAGACGUGGUCACCAUUGCCCGGCCGAGCUGAAGAUUUUCUGUUGCAUUUCUGGGGGGAGAGGCCUGUGAAGCCUGAGGAGUCUGUUCUCUCCCUUGAGGGCAGUGUCUGGGGAAGGAAGUGACCUGCCCAGGGUGCCACAGCCCAGGCUGAAGAUGGCACGGCCCCCACACAGAGCCUGAUGUCUCAUGGGCCUGGAUUCGAACCCCCAGGUUCUUGGGCCCUUCCCCAGUGCGAAGAUAAAUUUGACUUUUUUGGUUUACGUUUUCAGUCUUUACUUUCGACAGAAACUGACAUCAACUUCACAUAACGGGAAGACCCGAAGGAGGCCCCUGGGAGGAGCUAAGGCAGGGGACUGCCCCCGGCCCGGCGUGUGGGCUCCGUCCCCAGGUGGCUGGGCCCGUGGGGCGGCCGCAUUCCUGAGGGUCGGGUUACCGGGAAGACCGCGGCCUCCCCGCCCCUCUCGUGCUGCUUCCGCUGGCGCCGGGGCUGCGACCGCAGGUGUUUGCGUAGCCUCUGCGAAGGGACCCACGUCCUGUUUUCUGGGUCUCUGCCAGCUCCUUCCAGCCUCAUAAAACCUUUUGAAAAUGAGGAAAUGAAGCGCACCCUCUGCUUCCUCACCAGCCCAGUGUCUCUCUGUCUCUGUUGGUGACUGACCGACACUCAAGAUUUAGCCAUUAAGGGCUCUCACGCACAAGGGGAAAUCUUCCCAUACGGUCCUAUCUAUUGCAGGCAUGCAUUAAAACGCACCUGCUGCCUA